rnacentral:misc_RNA from 1 species
GCCAUAUGGGGAGACAUUCUUCAAAUUUCCAACCGGAAGAUAUACCGAUGGCCGAAUUCUCCCAGACUUCUUAUCUAUGUACCUUAAAAUACCAUUGUGGAAACCGUAUUUAGCACCUGGAAAACAUAAUCUCCUCCACGGAGCCAACUUUGCCAGUGGUGGUGCGGCUGUGCUCCCUGAAUAUAGUGUUGAAGGACCGGUUUCCUUCAGCGAACAACUAAGCUAUUUCGAGAAUGUGGCUGGUUUGCUAAAGAAGCAGAUAGGUGAUGAGGAAGCAAAGGAGAUGCUAAAGGGAGCAGUUUACCUAUCUAGCCUUGGAGGCAUUGACAUCUUAUUUAGUGAUGUUUACAUCAAUGGUAAUCAAGUACAACGACAGGAACUCAUAAAUAUGGUCAUUGGCAAUAUAACUCAAGGGAUCAAGGGUUCAAAGAAGGGUUGAUUGGCUGUUGUGGGAAUGGGACAUUUCGUGGAUAUAGUUGUGGAGUAGAGCCAUAUGAGUUAUGCAGUGAGCCGAGUGAAUAUGUGUGGUUCGAUGGUGGCCAUCCUACUGAACAUGCCUAUGCACAAUUAGCUAAGCUCGUGUGGAAAGGUGGACCAAAGGCUACGAAGCCCUUUAACAUGAAGCAACUAUUUGAACUUGAUUAAACUUACAAAUUAGAUCAUGUUCCAUUUUAUUACUAUUAAUGUUACAAAUAAAGUGGCUGCAGCAAUUAAUAAUGAGUUUUAACUCAGCAAUAACAUGAGGCCUUGAAUUUGAAUAAAAAAGGUA